rnacentral:rRNA from 1 species
UGGAUAAGGCAUGCAAGUCGAACGGGUUUAGACCCGUGGCAGACGAGGUAGUAACACGUAGGUACGUCCCCGGAAGUCGGGCAUAACCAGCCGAAAGGUUGAGCAAUUCCCGAUGGUCUCGUAAGAGUAAAGAUUUUUCGCUUCCGGAGCGGCCUGCGUAAUAUCAGCUAGUUGGUAAGGUAAUGGCUUACCAAGGCUAUGACGUUUAGGGGAGCUGAGAGGCUGACCCCCACCGAUGAAACUGAGAACGGUUCAUACCCCUACGGGGGGCCGCAGCCGAGAAUAUUCGACAAUGGGCGCAAGCCUGAUCGAGCGAUACCGCGUGGUGGAUGUUUGCGAUUCGUCGCGUAAACACC